CCUACGGGGGGCAGCAGUGGGGAAUAUUGGACAAUGGGGGGAACCCUGAUCCAGCCAUGCCGCGUGUGUGAAGAAGGCCCUCGGGUUGUAAAGCACUUUCAGUGAGGAAGAACGCCUGGUGGUUAAUACCCAUCAGGAAAGACAUCACUCACAGAAGAAGCAUCGGCUAACUCCGUGCCAGCAGCCGCGGUAAUACGGAGGGUGCGAGCGUUAAUCGGAAUUACUGGGCGUAAAGCGCGCGUAGGUGGCUUGAUAAGCCGGUUGUGAAAGCCCCGGGCUCAACCUGGGAACGGCAUCCGGAACUGUCAAGCUAGAGUGCAGGAGAGGAAGGUGGAAUUCCCGGUGUAGCGGUGAAAUGCGUAGAGAUCGGGAGGAAUACCAGUGGCGAAGGCGGCCUUCUGGACUGACACUGACACUGAGGUGCGAAAGCGUGGGUAGCAAACAGGAUUAGAUACCCGGGUAGUC
rnacentral:rRNA from 1 species